CGUGACGCUGGCGGCGUGCUUACACCUGCAGUUAACGAACCUUCGGGUUAGUGGCGGACGGGUGAGUAACGCGUGAGAAUCUGCCCUCAGGAGGGGGAUAACAGCUGGAAACGGCUGCUAAUACCCCAUAUGCCGCGAGGUGAACAUGAAUUUCGCCUGAGGAUGAGCUCGCGUCUGAUUAGCUAGUUGGUGUGGGUAAUGGCUCACCAAGGCAUCGAUCAGUAGCUGGUCUGAGAGGAUGAUCAGCCACACUGGGACUGAGACACGGCCCAGACUCCUACUGAGGAGGCAGCAGUGGGUGAAUUUUCCGCAAUGGGCGAAAGCCUGACGGAGCAACAGCCGCGUGAGGGAUGAAGGCCUCUGGGCUGUAAACCUCUUUUAUCAAGGAAGAAGAUCUGACGGUACUUGAUGAAUAAGCCACGGCUAAUUCCGUAGCCAGACAGACCGCAGGUAAUAACGGGAGAUGAGCAAGCGUUAUCCAGGAAUUAUUAGGGCAGUAACAGCGUCCAGCAA
rnacentral:rRNA from 1 species